rnacentral:lncRNA from 1 species
UGGUGUAUGCAGUUUGGGCUCCUUCCACGCCUCUUAUGGCCACUUACCAUGUAUGAAGUCCCGAUCUCAAAGGUGGAAAAGCUGGAGAGGCUGGUCAGCUCAUAUGCAAGGAAGUGACUUGGGCUUCCCAGGUGCCUCAGCAGUAUAGGGCUCUAUGGCAAAGGAGUAUUAGAACUGCCCAUUUCCAGUCUAGCAGAGGAGUAUAAAUGCGCCAAAGUUAGACUGGAGAUGAUGCUAUUGGAUUCGAGUGAUCCAUUUGUAGCCCAAGCUGCACCCAUCCUGGCUACUGGGAGGAAGUGGACCCCACUGGAAGCAACCAAGCAGGCAAAGGCAGCACUCAAGCACAGGGACAUCGUGGGCCGAGUGCAGCACGGGAGGAGUGGUCUUGGAGCCGGAGCCAGUACACCGGCCUGGAACAAGGCUACUCCGUUCCAGAGACGCAAGCUGGUGGUCCAGGAGGUACGUCAGCAAGAGGAGGCAGCAAGGUGUGCAAAAGCUGUUUCACAGGCAAAGCAGGGGCAGUGGAUGACUUGGGAGGGAGUGGAGAAGAGGAAGAUCUCCUGGCAGGAGCUGUGGGAGAUGGAGGCAUUUAAGGCUAGCUUCACCAUCAGGGCCGCUUAUGAUGUACUGCCGUCUCCCAAGAAUCUUAGCCAGUGGUACGGAGAAGACCCGACAUGCUCCCUCUGCCCGACUCCAGCUACACUAAAGCACAUCCUGGUGGGCUGCAAGACCGGCCUCACUCAAGGCCGGUACACCUGGCGGCACAACCAGGUGCUACAGUGUCUUGCGGCAGUGAUGGAGAGUCGACGGAUGAGCGUCAAUGCCCUUCCUCCACCAUCUCGUAGGCCGGCAACAACAUUUGUCCGGGAGGGCGGGGGCCAAGUCACUCUCACCACCACAAGACCAGAAACUGGACAGCUAGGUGGGGCACGGGACUGGAAGAUGCUGGCAGACCUAGGCCAGAAGCUCCGAUUUCCAGCAGAAAUAGCAACAUCAAAUCUGCGACCAGACCUUGUGCUUUGGUCGGCCUCACUCAAGCAGGUG